CCUACGGGAGGCAGCAGUGGGGAAUAUUGCACAAUGGGGGAAACCCUGAUGCAGCGACGCCGCGUGAGUGAAGAAGUAUUUCGGUACGUAAAGCUCUAUCAGCAGGGAAGAAAAUGACGGUACCUGACUAAGAAGCCCCGGCUAACUACGUGCCAGCAGCCGCGGUAAUACGUAGGGGGCAAGCGUUAUCCGGAUUUACUGGGUGUAAAGGGAGCGUAGACGGCAGCGCAAGUCUGGAGUGAAAUCCCAUGGCUUAACCAUGGAACUGCUUUAGAAACUGUGCAGCUAGAGUGCAGGAGAGGUAAGCGGAAUUCCUAGUGGAGCGGUGAAAUGCGUAGAUAUUAGGAGGAACACCAGUGGCGAAGGCGGCUUACUGGACUGUAACUGACGUUGAGGCUCGAAAGCGUGGGGAGCAAACAGGAUUAGAUACCCGAGUAGUC
rnacentral:rRNA from 1 species